rnacentral:rRNA from 1 species
AUGCUUCUCCUAAAGGCUAAGCCAUGCAUGCCUUCGAAUAGAAGAGCAAUCUCUUUGAAUCUGCGAGCGGCUCCGCACACCAGUUGUAAACUAUAGCAAGUCCGUGCGCCUACUGAGCAAUCGGUAGGCGUACUAACAGGGAUAACCCUGGUAAUCCUGAGGCUAAUACAAGAACGUAAACUCGACCGACUGGGCAACUGGGAGAUCGAGGGUCGUGUGAGCUUUAUGCAAUACUCGACAUGAAUGGAUG